rnacentral:lncRNA from 1 species
AUCAAUGGAUUUAGAAGUGAAUAAUAAGGACAUAUAUUUUUUAGGGCCAAGAAAGAAAAACCUCCAUGACUCCAGUCUAUCUGUAUCUGCUGAAGAGGUAAGGCUAAUACACUGCUUUACGGAGGGAGCCAUUCUAUGUUAUUUUAAAAUUUCUAAUAAAUAUGUAUAUUUUGUUUUUAAGUUUGGGCACCUGUUGGAUGAAAACGUGGGAUCCAACUUUGAUAACAUUGGCGUGAAUGCCAUGGCUAACAAAGAUCAAGCAAGAGACUGUGUAUUUCCCAGAAGAGCCACACUAUGCAUUGAGUGCCAGCAUGCCUCCUCCCUCUUCUGAAUGCCAUUUUUACUCAACGUGUAGCUCACACCUCAGUUUUGCAAAGGCCAGGUUGGUUCAUUUGGUGAGUCAUGGUAGGAGUGCCUCAGACAGUGUUGGUGAAGAAACUCGGGUCUCCUCAGCAGCCUCUGCUUCUUGAUGAUGAGUUUAAUGAGCUUGUAAAAAGCCUGGACACUAGACCACUGGCUGCAGCAGCUGGCACCUACAGUCUUAUAACCACAUUUUUCAAGCUUCACAUUCUGACCCUUUGGUGGACUGUGAAAUAAUUCUGGGGGUUGUGAUAAGCACUUGAAAAUAAUGAAACAAACUGAAAUAGAUACUGUUAGAGUAUAUCGUGUGUGAUGAGGAUAAGUAAAGUUUAAUAAAACUUUUGCAUUUUGUGUGUUCAUUUGCAAUAAAAAUAUUUUCUAUAUUUUUGGGAGUUGCUGUCCAAAGAGUCUGGAAGGCAUUGCCUUGGAUUUAAAGCUGACUAAUGCAGUUUGACAGUAUAGCAAUUUGGAAUGAGGAUAUAUUUGAAAUAUUAAAGUACAGAUAGCUUUUAG